rnacentral:rRNA from 1 species
UCUAUCUUCAAGUGGGGUAUAACUUUCCGAAAGGGGAGAUAAUGCCGAAUGUGGUGAUCCGACGCCUGUCGGAGAUUCUAAAGGUGGGGACCGUAAGGCCUGCCGCUUGAAGCCGAGCCCGUGCACUAUCAGCUAGUUGGUAGGGUAAUGGCCUACCAAGGCAAUGACGGUUAGCUGGUCUGAGAGGAUGGUCAGCCACACUGGGACUGAGAUACUGCCCAGACUCCUACGGGAGGCUGCAGUCGAGAAUCAUUCGCAAUGGGCGAAAGCCUGACGGUGCGACGUCGCGUGGAGGAUGAAGGUCUUCGGAUUGUAAACUCCUGUCAUGAGGGAUAAAUGGCCAGGGCAAUAAUACUGCCUUGGAAUGAUAGUACCUCAGGAGGAAGAGACGGCUAACUCUGUGCCAGCAGCCGCGGUAAUACAGAGGUCUCAAGCGUUGUUCGGAUUUACUGGGCGUAAAGGGAGCGUAGGCGGUUUGGUAUGUCGAAUGUGAAAGCCCACAACUCAACUGUGGAAAUGCAUUCGAAACUGCCGGACUAGAGUACUGGAGAGGAGAGCGGAAUUCUUGGUGUAGCGGUGAAAUGCGUAGAUAUCAAGAGGAACACCGGUGGCGAAGGCGGCUCUCUG